UACGUAGGGGGCAAGCGUUGUCCGGAAUCAUUGGGCGUAAAGCGCGUGUAGGCGGCCAGAAAAGUCCGCUGUGAAAACUCGAGGCUCAACUUCGAGCUGUCGGUGGAAACUUUUCUGGCUAGAGUCCGGAAGAGGAGAAUGGAAUUCCUGGUGUAGCGGUGAAAUGCGCAGAUAUCAGGAAGAACACCCGUGGCGAAGGCGGUUCUCUGGGCAGUAACUGACGCUGAGGAGCGAAAGCGUGGGGGAGCGAACAGG
rnacentral:rRNA from 1 species